UUAGCAUUCUAGCGGGCAUGCCUGUCCGAGCGUCAUUUCAACCCUCAGGGUCCCCGUUCCGGCGGGGAACCUGGUGUUGGGGAUCGGCCCGCCCCGUGCGGCGCCGUCCCCCAAAUUCAGUGGCGGUCUCGCUGCAGCCUCCCCUGCGUAGUAGUUACAACCUCGCAU
rnacentral:rRNA from 1 species